UGCAAGUCGAGCGAGCGGAACCAACAGAUUUACUUCGGUAAUGACGUUGGGAAAGCGAGCGGCGGAUGGGUGAGUAACACGUGGGGAACCUGCCCCUAAGUCUGGGAUACCAUUUGGAAACAGGUGCUAAUACCGGAUAAUAAAGCAGAUCGCAUGAUCAGCUUUUGAAAGGCAGCGUAAGCUGUCGCUAAGGGAUGGCCCCGCGGUGCAUUAGCUAGUUGGUAAGGUAACGGCUUACCAAGGCGACGAUGCAUAGCCGAGUUGAGAGACUGAUCGGCCACAUUGGGACUGAGACACGGCCCAAACUCCUACGGGAGGCAGCAGUAGGGAAUCUUCCACAAUGGACGCAAGUCUGAUGGAGCAACGCCGCGUGAGUGAAGAAGGUUUUCGGAUCGUAAAGCUCUGUUGUUGGUGAAGAAGGAUAGAGGUAGUAACUGGCCUUUAUUUGACGGUAAUCAACCAGAAGGUCACGGCUAACUAC
rnacentral:rRNA from 1 species